GACAGAGGGUGCAAACGUUGUUCGGAAUUACUGGGCGUAAAGGGCGCGUAGGCGGCCAACUAAGUCGGACGUGAAAUCCCCGGGCUCAACCCGGGAACUGCGUCCGAUACUGGAUGGCUUGAAUCCGGGAGAGGGAUGUGGAAUUCCAGGUGUAGCGGUGAAAUGCGUAGAUAUCUGGAGGAACACCGGUGGCGAAGGCGGCAUCCUGGACCGGUAUUGACGCUGAGGCGCGAAAGCCAGGGGAGCAAACGGG
rnacentral:rRNA from 1 species